rnacentral:rRNA from 1 species
UACAGAGGUCUCAAGCGUUGUUCGGAUUCAUUGGGCGUAAAGGGUGUGUAGGUGGCGCGCUAAGUCGGGUGUGAAAUUUCGGAGCUUAACUCCGAAACUGCAUUUGAUACUGGCGUGCUUGAGGACUGGAGAGGAGACUGGAAUUCACGGUGUAGCAGUGAAAUGCGUAGAGAUCGUGAGGAAGACCAGUGGCGAAGGCGGGUCUCUGGACAGUUCCUGACACUGAGGCACGAAGGCCAGGGGAGCAAACGGG